rnacentral:rRNA from 1 species
UACGGAGGGUGCGAGCGUUACCCGGAUUUACUGGGCGUAAAGGGCGUGUAGGCGGUCUCUCAAGUCCGAUGCUAAAGACCGAGGCUCAACCUCGGGAGUGCGUUGGAUACUGUGAGGCUAGACGGUCGGAGAGGGCAGCGGAAUUCUCGGGGUAGCGGUGAAAUGCGCAGAUGCCGAGAGGAACGCCAAUAGCGAAGGCAGCUGCCUGGACGAUUUUUGACGCUGAGGCGUGAAAGCGUGGGGAGCAAACCGG